rnacentral:misc_RNA from 1 species
UCCGAGUUGUCCCCGGCAGUCCUCUUAGAGUCCCCGGCAUUACCCGCUGGCAACUAAGAGCAGGGGUUGCGCUCGUUGCGGCACUUAAGCCAACACCUCACGGCACGAGCUGACGACGGCCAUGCAACAUCUGUCACCGAGUUCAAUAAAGCACUCACUACUUUCGUAGUAAUUCUCGGGAUGUCAAACCCUGGUAAGGUUCUUCGGUUAGCAUCGAAUUAAAGAACAUAAUCCACCGCUUGUGCGGGUCCCCGUCAAUUCCUUUAUGUUUUAGUCUUGCGACCGUACUCCACAGGCGGGAUACUUAACGCGUUAGCUUCGCUACUGAAGGGGUCGAUACCUCCAACAGCUAGUAUCCAUCGUUUACGGCGUGGACUAC